rnacentral:rRNA from 1 species
GAUGAACGCUAGCGGCAGGCUUAAUACAUGCAAGUCGAGGGGUAGCAAGAUUGUAGCAAUACAAUUGUUGACGACCGGCAAACGGGUGCGGAACACGUACACAACCUUCCUACAAGUGGGGAAUAGCCCAGAGAAAUUUGGAUUAAUACCCCGUAACAUAGCGAUGUGGCAUCACAUUGCUAUUAUAGCUUCGGCGCUUGUUGAUGGGUGUGCGGCUGAUUAGAUAGUUGGCGGGGUAACGGCCCACCAAGUCUACGAUCAGUAGCUGAUGUGAGAGCAUGAUCAGCCACGCGGGCACUGAGACACGGGCCCGACUCCUACGGGAGGCAGCAGUAAGGAAUAUUGGACAAUGGACGCAAGUCUGAUCCAGCCACGCCGCGUGAAGGAUUAAGGUCCUCUGGAUUGUAAACUUCUUUUAUAAGGGACGAAAAAAGGUCUUUCUAGAUCGUCUGACGGUACCUUAUGAAUAAGCACCGGCUAACUCCGUGCCAGCCGCCGCGGUAAAAC